UAAGAAGAGCUCCGGUACCUCAGAGUGACGCUUGUUCCAUUUCUGCUCCUGUGCUUUUUAACCGCAUGCUCUGCUCCGUGUGCUCACAUGCAUGAAGGCGGACAUCUGUGUUUGUGUGUUGGAUGAAUAUGAAACGUGAAAUACGUCCAUUGCGACAUGCAACGCAGCGCUGCAUGGUUACGUGCAAUGUUUUACAUGUCACAUGUUCCCUUUUUUCUGUUUUUGUUUUUAAUGAUGAACCUUUCUGAGCAGGAACAGGUUGAUCUGAAGUUUUGCGUAUUGAAGAAACACUGAGCAAGCAGUGAGGAAAACGUCUCCAGCGCGCAUAGUCUCGUCCUUUAGGCUGAGUCUGUGUCUGUUUGUGUGUGUGUGUGUGUGUGUGUGUGGCUGUCCACAGAGGAUGAAAGCUGAUAGGACCUUUCUAGCACACAGUGAGGACUCCCUGUUACAUGGGGUUCAGACCACCACUGAGGCAUAACAGCAGCAUGAAUGCAGACAAGCUCUACAAGGGUCAGCUGUCGGAGUUACCCCUCUGUCCUCUAUCCACACUCCACCUAUCCACAAACGGGGCGGUGAUGAGGAUCAAAGCCACACCCAUCGCAGGUCUGAGUCUUCCCU
ensembl:lncRNA